AAAUAAGUAAUUAAAUAACAUUAGUUUCGACCUAAUUAUAAAUGAAACCUCAUUCUUAUUUA
rnacentral:tRNA from 1 species